rnacentral:lncRNA from 1 species
AAAAAAAAGACUAACAUCUUUGUAACAUGAGAGAUACUUCACCAAGAAGAUACUUUUUAUCCCCCAAAUAUUAUAUAGAAACAUUGUGGCUAGCUAGCUAUCAAUCAUCUAUCUAUCCGGAGAAGUGGAGAGUUAAAAGCAGAUCCCUCCCACCCACACAGAUGCAGAAUUCCAGGUGGCUGAAAGAACCUGAGAAAAGGAAAGAAUUUUCUUCAUCAUCAACUACCUCAAGAGACCGAAACAGAGACCAGAUGAUGUUCUUCAUGACACUUCUCAUCUCUGCAUCUCCCUAUUCCCCAAAACUGGAAAGUAAGAAUCUGAAGCCUACUCUUUUGUAAGUUUCUGGGGUUGUGUGGUCUCUGUUGUGUCUGUGUCUCUAGUAACUGUUCUCCUGCCCCCUUUCCUCUGCACAUGGUCAGGAUGACCUGCCCAGACUUGACCUCUA